rnacentral:rRNA from 1 species
UGCCAGCCGCCGCGGUAACACGAACCGGACAAACGUUAUUCGGAAUUAUUGGGCUUAAAGGGUGCGUAGGCGGUGUGGUAAGUGAGGUGUGAAAGCCCACGGCUCAACCGUGGAAUUGCGCUUCAUACUGCCGUGCUAGAGGGAGACAGAGGUAAGCGGAACUGAUGGUGGAGCGGUGAAAUGCGUUGAUAUUAUCAGGAACACCGGUGGCGAAAGCGGCUUACUGGGUCUCUUCUGACGCUGAGGAAGAAAAGCUGGGGAACCAAACGGAAUAAGAA